GUCCUCUUGAGUAUGAUUUGAGGUCCGGCCUGCUCACUGACAAGGUUUUAAAGAGCCGCGGUAUUUUGACCGUGCAAAGGUAGCAUAAUCAUUAGUCUCUUAAUUAGAGGCUGGAAUGAAUGGUUUGACGAGAAAUCAACUGUCUCUUAAUAAUUUUUAAAAUUUAACUUUUAAGUCAAAAGGCUUAAAUUUUUCUUUAGGACGAGAAGACCCUAUAGAGCUUGACAUUUUAUUUUUAUAUAGUUUUUGGUUAGUCUUUCUAUAUUUAAUGAUAAUGUUUUGUUGGGGUGACAUGAAGAAUAAAUAAACUCUUCAUUAUAAAAUCAUUGAUUUAUGUUUAUCAUGAUCCAUAAUUUAUGAUCAUAAGAUUAAGUUACCUUAGGGAUAACAGCGUAAUUGUUUUUGAGAGUUCAUAUUGACAAAACAGAUUGCGACCUCGAUGUUGGAUUAAGAAAAAUUUUGGGUGCAGGAGCCCAAUAAUUAGGUCUGUUCGACCUUUAAAUUCUU
rnacentral:rRNA from 1 species